UCCAGGAGAUUCUCCCUUUAAUUAUGCCUUCGCAGCCUCUCCCACGCGCGGCAACGCCCGUUCCCACCGGCGCUCCAGAUAAAGGCCAGAGGCUCCUGGACGACGCUGACGUUCACACGCCCCAGGUUUCCGUACUUGGAGAGCUGAGUGGGUGGAAUGCCUGGCCCAGAUGGUCUGUGCCAUCUGAGCUGGAGGAAAAAGGACUUGGAGACAGCGAUUUAAAUAAGGAACGAGGUCUUCUAGGAAGACAGUGCAAAACUGGAUGAAGAGCUCUUGCUCCCCACUGCUGAAGGCAGCCUCUUCG